AUGCGCGCCUUGAAGAGUGUCGUGGGCACACCUGAGUCUUUGGGAUUCAAUCUGAGAAGACCCAGGGUCUCCUCUGGGCUGGCAGGGGCUGGAUCAGCUGCUCUUAGACCCAGGGUCUCAUGUGGGCUGGCAGGGGCCAGAUCAGCCGGUCUUAGACCCAGGGUCUUCUCUGGGCUGGCCGGAUCAGCUGGUCUUAGACCCAGGGUCUCAUGUGGGCUGGCAGGGGUGGGAUCAGCUGGUCUUAGACCCAGGGUCUCAUGUGGGCUGGCAGGGGCCGGAUCAGCUGGUCUUAGACCCAGGGUCUCAUGUGGGCUGGCAGGGGCCGGAUCAGCUGGUCUUAGACCCAGGGUCUUCUCUGGGCUGGCAGGGGCUGGAUCAGCUGCUCUUAGACCCAGGGUCUCAUGUGGGCUGGCAGGGGCCAGAUCAGCCGGUCUUAGACCCAGGGUCUUCUCUGGGCUGGCCGGAUCAGCUGGUCUUAGACCCAGGGUCUCAUGUGGGCUGGCAGGGGCCAGAUCAGCUGGUCUUAGACCCAGGGUCUCAUGUGGGCUGGCAGGGGCCGGAUCAGCUGGUCUUAGACCCAGGGUCUCAUGUGGGCUGGCAGGGGUGGGAUCAGCUGGUCUUAGACCCAGGGUCUCAUGUGGGCUGGCAGGGGCCGGAUCAGCUGGUCUUUCCUUUCCUGGGGCUGGUGUUCCCCAUGGGGAGAGAGCAAGAGGAUCUGGGGGCGCUCUCUCCAGCACCACUGACCCCAGAUCCCCUUUCCAGGCUUCUCAGCCCCUCCCAGGGCCCCAAACUCCCAAAGGUGGGGAGACGAAAGGAAAAGCAAGGCUGUGCUGGCGAGUGGGGAGGAGGCAGGGAGCACUGGGUCGAAUCCACGGAGGCAGAAACCCAGCACACAGCGGGCUGGCGUUCCUGGCACAGGAGUCCUGGGAAAGCCAUUGGGCCACACCGCGGUGUUGGGAUGACACCGAUGACAACUCGGGUUGCAUGCACCCUCACCACGUCCGAGCCCUCACGCAUUAUCUCUCGCAAUCCUCUCCACUGUCCAACGAAGCGGGCGGCACUUUACAGGUAGCGAAACUUGGGUUCGGGGAAGAGCCUGGAAAACAAGCUAUGGCCUCUGGCCCGAGACCCUGA
rnacentral:lncRNA from 1 species